UGGGGAAUAUUGCACAAUGGUGGGAACUCUGAUGCAGCGACGCCGCGUGAGUGAUGAAGGAAUUCGUUUCGUAAAACUCUGUUCUAUGGGAAGAAAAGGACUGUACCAUAGGAGAAAGCUCCGGCUAAAUACGUGCCAGCAGCCGCGGUAAUACGUAUGUAGCGAGCGUUGUCCGGAAUUAUUGGGCGUAAAGGGUGCGCAGGCGGCUUUACAAGUUGGAUGUGAAAUAUUGUGGCUCAACCACAAACGUGCAUCCAAAACUGCAAAGCUUGAGUUAAGGAGAGGUAAGUGGAAUUCCUGGUGUAGCGGUGGAAUGCGUAGAUAUCAGGAGGAAUACCGGUGGCGAAGGCGACUUACUGGACUUAAACUGACGCUCAGGCACGAAAGCGUGGGGAGCAAACAGG
rnacentral:rRNA from 1 species